rnacentral:rRNA from 1 species
AGUAACACGUAAACAACCUGCCUUCAGGAUGGGGGAAACAGACGGAAACGACUGCUAAUACCGAAUAAGUUCCAAGGGCCGCGUGGCCCAUGGAAGAAAAGGUGGCCUCUACCUGUAAGCUAUCGCCUGAAGAGGGGUUUGCGUCUGAUUAGCUGGUUGGAGGGGUAACGGCCCACCAAGGCGACGAUCAGUAGCCGGUCUGAGAGGAUGAACGGCCACACUGGAACUGAGACACGGUCCAG